rnacentral:rRNA from 1 species
AGCAAUCUAUACUGUGAAACUGCGAAUGGCUCAUUAAAUCAGUUAUCGUUUAUUUGAUAGUACCUUACUACUUGGAUAACCGUGGUAAUUCUAGAGCUAAUACAUGCUAAAAACCCCGACUUUUGGAGGGGUGUAUUUAUUAGAUAAAAAACCAAUGCCCUUCGGGGCUCCUUGGUGAUUCAUAAUAACUUAACGAAUCGCAUGGCCUUGUGCCGGCGAUGGUUCAUUCAAAUUUCUGCCCUAUCAACUUUCGAUGGUUAGGUCUUGGCUAACCAUGGUUUCAACGGGUAACGGGGAAUUAGGGUUCUAUUCCGGAGAGUGAGCCUGAGAAACGGCUAACACAUCCAAGGAAGGCAGCAGGCGCGCAAAUUACCCAAUCCCGACACGGGGAGGUAGUGACAAUAAAUACUGAUCCAGGGCUCUUUUGGGUCUUGGAAUUGGAAUGAGUACAAUUUAAAUCCCUUAACGAGGAACAAUUGGAGGGCAAGUCUGGUGCCAGCAGCCGCGGUAAUUCCAGCUCCAAUAGCGUAUAUUAAAGUUGUUGCAGUUAAAAAGCUCGUAGUUGAACCUUGGGUCUGGCUGGUUGGUCCGCCUCACCGCGUGUACUGAUCCGGCCGGACCUUUCCUUCUGGGGAACUGCAUGCCCUUCACUGGGUGUGUCAGGGAUCCAGGACUUUUACUUUGAAAAAAUUAGAGUGUUCAAAGCAGGCCUAUGCUCGAAUACAUUAGCAUGGAAUAAUAGAAUAGGACGUGUGGUUCUAUUUUGUUGGUUUCUAGGACCGCCGUAAUGAUUAAUAGGGAUAGUCGGGGGCAUCAGUAUUCAAUUGUCAGAGGUGAAAUUCUUGGAUUUAUUGAAGACUAACUACUGCGAAAGCAUUUGCCAAGGAUGUUUUCAUUAAUCAGUGAACGAAAGUUAGGGGAUCGAAGACGAUCAGAUACCGUCGUAGUCUUAACCAUAAACUAUGCCGACUAGGGAUCGGGCGAUGUUACUUUUUUGACUCGCUCGGCACCUUACGAGAAAUCAAA